rnacentral:rRNA from 1 species
CCAGACUCCUACGGGAGGCAGCAGUGGGGAAUAUUGCGCAAUGGGGGCAACCCUGACGCAGCCAUGCCGCGUGAAUGAAGAAGGCCUUCGGGUUGUAAAGUUCUUUCGGUAGCGAGGAAGGCAUUUAGUUUAAUAAACUGGAUGAUUGACGUUAACUACAGAAGAAGCACCGGCUAACUCCGUGCCAGCAGCCGCGGUAAUACGGAGGGUGCGAGCGUUAAUCGGAAUAACUGGGCGUAAAGGGCACGCAGGCGGUGACUUAAGUGAAGUGUGAAAGCCCCGGGCUUAACCUGGGAAUUGCAUUUCAUACUGGGUCGCUAGAGUACUUUAGGGAGGGGUAGAAUUCCACGUGUAGCGGUGAAAUGCGUAGAGAUGUGGAGGAAUACCGAAGGCGAAGGCAGCCCCUUGGGAAUGUACUGACGCUCAUGUGCGAAAGCGUGGGGAGCAAACAGGAUUAGAUACCCUGGUAGUCCACGCUGUAAACGAUGUCGAUUUGGGGGUUGAGCUUUAAGUUUGGCGCCCGUAGCUAACGUGAUAAAUCGACCGCCUGGGGAGUACGGCCGCAAGGUUAAAACUCAAAUGAAUUGACGGGGGCCCGCACAAG